rnacentral:rRNA from 1 species
AACGAACGUUAGCGGCGCGCCUAACACAUGCAAGUCGAACGCGACAGGGGCAACUCUGUUAAGUGGCGCACGGGUGAGUAACACGUAGGUAAUCUCCCCCCGAGUGGUGGAUAACCUUCCGAAAGGAGGGCUAAUACAGCAUAAGACCACGGCUUCGAAAGGAGCUGAGGUCAAAGCGGAGGAUCGCAAGACUUCGCGCUUGGGGAUGAGCCUGCGGCCCAUCAGGUAGUUGGCGGGGUAACGGCCCACCAAGCCUAAGACGGGUAGCUGGUCUGAGAGGAUGAUCAGCCACACUGGAACUGAGACACGGCCCAGACUCCUACGGGAGGCAGCAGUGGGGAAUCUUGCGCAAUGGACGAAAGUCUGACGCAGCGACGCCGCGUGGGUGAUGAAGGCCUUCGGGUUGUAAAGCCCUGUGGGGAGGGACGAAUAAGUUUCAGCUAAUACCUGAAGCGAUGACGGUACCUCCUUAGCAAGCACCGGCUAACUCUGUGCCAGCCGCCGCCGUAA